AUGAAAUACAUAAUACAUAAAUAUAUAAAAUAUAAAUGUAAAAUAUAUAAAUACAAAGUAAAUAUAUACACAUAGAGAGAGAAUCCAUAAACCAUCACAGCUUUAAAGGUGAAAAACUUGGUGAUUUUCACUCUGUUCUCAGAACUGUCCGGCCAUCACCACCGUGUCUCAUGUUAGACCAGUGCCAUCACCCCAGAAGGGAAGGUCCCACCCGUCAACAGUCCCUCCCCAGCGUGGCCCCGGCAACCACUAACUGAUCUCUGUCUCCAUGGAUUUGCCCGUCCUUAAACCUGAGUCCAGGUUCUCCAAGCUCAUCCACGGUGUGGCGGGCGCGUGCUCCACCCCUCCUUAGGGCUGAGCCGGGCUCCGUUGCGUGCACAGGCCACGCCUUGUGCAUGGACCGUCGGUGGAGGGACAUUUGGGGCUGUUUCCACCGUUGAGCCAGUGGGGACGGGGCUGCCUUGCUGCUCGAGUGCCCAUUUCUGGGCGGACGUGUGGUUUCCUGUCUGCGGGGCACACCUAGGAGGGGGACUGCUGGGUCACGUGGGGCCACUCUGUUUAACCUUCGCGGAUGCGCCAGGCUGUUUCCGCAGCGAGGGCCCUCCGUCUCCUCACCAGGGGUCUGCAUGGAUCUGACAGCUACUGCGAAAAAGGCAUCAGGGUCGUCCUGAGGGCCUCUGGGCCACCAGACUCCAUCCUUUCUGGACUAGAGCCCUUCCUCCCCACACCAGGGAUGAUAGUUCGCCUCUCAGUGACGGUUCUGCGAUCUCCAGGCUACAGAGAGCCCCCAUCCCGAGGUCACGCUGCUCCACGGGGCCCACGGGCAGCCGCUCACUGGAGGAAUAUGUGCACAGAUUGAAGGAGCCAAUGCCUCAGAAGGGCUCCAACGUAAAAGAGAAAUGGCACAUACGACGUGGCAGACCGUCGCCCUCCCGGCCCCGCCCCCGGGAGAGGGGCUGCGCUUGGAGGCUCACUUCGGAGGAGAGGGCGGAAGGGACAGGCAGUGCCUCAACGGGGAGGCGCCGCGGGAGUCACGGCUGCCGCCCCCAGGGCCCCACGCGGGUGGGUGUCCGGGGUCCCGAGGUAAUGCGAAGGGGAGGGCGCGCCACCUCUGCGGCAAACUCCCCCACACCCAGUCUCACCGUGAGAAAAACCAUCGGCAACGCAGAUGGUGGGGCGGGCACCUCUAACACACCUGACCAGCACGCCUCCCACUGUCGGCAGAGGUCCUGGGAAAGGAGGAAGGACUGGACAAGAAGCGUGCGAGGGGACCCGAGGGCUGCAGGCAGUGCGGGGCGGGGCCGAUGGAUGCUGGGACCAGAGGGACGUCAGUGGGAACACAGGCGAGAUCCAGGGAGACCGCGGAGGGCCGAUGAUCGCACGGUCCGGGAGCUUUGGGUGAGGAGACAGGACAGCGCUGGGGGCAGCGGAGCGGGGUGAGGGACAUGCAGGAACUCUCUGCACUGCCGUUUUUCUUUCCUCCACAAAAUGAAGACACUUCAAUUUUUAGAGCAAUUUUAGGCUCAUAGCCUCUGUGUACCGUCUUCACAGAUUUCCUGUAAAUCAACAAUGUUCCAAAUAAAAACUUUGUUUACGAAGAAACGAAAGGUUAAAA